UACGAAGGGGGCGAGCGUUUGUUCGGAAUCACUGGGCGUAAAGCGCGCGUAGGCGGCUUUGUAAGUUAGAGGUGAAAGCCCGGAGCUCAACUCCGGAACUGCCUUUAAAACUGCAUCGCUUGAAUCCAGGAGAGGUGAGUGGAAUUCCGAGUGUAGAGGUGAAAUUCGUAGAUAUUCGGAAGAACACCAGUGGCGAAGGCGGCUCACUGGACUGGUAUUGACGCUGAGGUGGCGAAAAGCGUGGGGAGCAAACAGG
rnacentral:rRNA from 1 species